AUAGACUUUGAUAAGAGGUACAUGCUAUCUGUUUAUCUCCGCACUAAUUAUGUGCUGUCCUUUGCCUGAUUUAAUCAUAUGCUUAUGUUCUUGAUCUUAUUGCUAAAGGCUCCAGGGCAAGUUCUCUCCUGUAGAAAAGAUUGUCCUCCAGGGACAGACAACAGCUAUGCAUUUGCCUUGACCGUAUUGAUAUACUGCUGCAUGUAUUUUUUCUAUGAACUUACCAUCCCUGAAGGAAAGAAGAGUAAUUCUUCCCCGGCCUCAGUCAACAAAAGGUAUGAGCUGUUCCAACAAAAAUGAUCCAAGAUGGCGUAAACAAACGAUUCUAGAUAUGUGAUGUGAAUUUGUUGGGUCUGUGACCUGUAGUGUCGAUAUAAAGAGAGUGCCAGCAAGUGGUCUACCUAAGUCUGUGUUGUGUAAACCCUUGUUUUCCGAUGGCCGUGCUUAGGUAUUUCCUUUCGUUUGCUUGGUGAAAAUACAUCCAAACCUAUUCACAUGGUUGUUUGAUGGUCAGUUGACAAGGAAUAUUUGUUUAUGCCUGCUAGGGGCUCGAAAAACUGGAUGAUGCUCUGCUGGUCUCGGUGGUGAGCUUGCUGCUACGUUGAGGUAUCUGGGUGUGGGUUGAUACGAGUGUUUAACAAUAUAUGCAUAAUUUUUCUACUUCUUGUACAUAAUUGUUAUUUGUUCUUGAAGCAAAUCAACUGAAAGCCUGACGGCGGAUGAAGACGAGACGUCCGUGACUAAAAGGGCUAAGUUGUAGUCCAAACGGCCCUAGGCGGAUCAUUAUUUUGGUGUGUCAGCUAGGUACCUUUUAUAUCGUCGGUCGCCUCCUAUGUUGUACACGAUUUGGCUCUUACUUGAACUUGUGUUAUUGCAGGACCACAAUGUGUUGGUUAGAUGUGCUCUCGCAUUGAUGGUCUAGCGAAUGGACGUCUCGACGUGUGUUAGAUGGUGAAGCUUCUUCCUAGGUCCAUCGUCCCUUUUGUCGUGCCGUAUUGCUUGCAAUGCGAUGUUACGUUACACAGACCCCAGGAAACUUUAAUGUGGUGCUUGUGAAAGACCAGCUGCUGUUGGUACUAUGAUCAGCAUUGGCCUUCUAUUUUGUGUGGUGUUUGUUUAGCUCUUGGUUGCUAACGAUGUAUGGUCAGUGCCAUGAGAUGGUGCUUCUGAUGGAUUAACUACUCUGUGGUUGAUGUAAGUUAUGAACCAGUUAAGCUGUGGCUCUAAUGUCGGUUUUCUAGUCCGUUUACUGUGUCGUAUCAUAUGUUUUAUUUCCUGUAUAUGUUGUGUGCUCUGUUCUGUCUUCGGACUUAU
rnacentral:lncRNA from 1 species